GUUGGUGAACUUAUGUGUUUCAAAUCUUUCAUCCUGCAAGGACAUUUCUAUUGCACGUUCCUUCCAAUAAUCCUCAUCGUAAUUCUCUGUAUGUUCCUCGUUAGGUGAAGUAAUUACAGUGUCAACUGCAAAACUUUCAUGGAAACCACUGUCUGCCCAACUGCCUAUGGAAUAAUCAUCACGUCCUCUCUUGCUUGGAGGUUGGAAGGCAAGGUGUGGGUAACAACGAUUAGGUAGAGCGAAAUGGUCAAGCGGCUGAUCAACAUCGAGCGACGUGUUGUUGCGGUCAUCGAUCACCGUUGACUCAUUGGAAUCAAUCGAUAAAAAGGUGUGGGUGUCGAUCGAUUCCGAGUACUCUGUUUCGUACUCUUAUUCGUACUCUGCUCCACAAUGGCUUGCACCAAUGAAGCCAAGUUCUUUCCCGUAAUCCACAGAAUUAAUAAUUUGUCUCUUAGGUCGGAUAGGGUUGUAGUGGAUGUUGGGGUCUAUCAGCGUCAGAAACAAUUUGUUUUUGUUCAUGUCACAUACAGCUCCUACUGUAGCUAGGAAAGAUCUUCCAAGUAGAAGUGAAGAG
rnacentral:lncRNA from 1 species